UCGAUUUUCUGUUUGACGGGAAAUUGUCUUUGGAGUAAACGUGGUGUGUUUCGAAAGAGCAGAAAUGAAAUUUAAUAUAAAGAGAUUGGAGAGUCUUCAAACGGCUUUUCUUAUUACGUGAAUCGGAUCGGGGCUCCGUUCUCAUUACGGCCGACUAUGUGAUCAAUUACGCUUCUAAAUAUAUCAUCAAGUUUAAUCGUUUUGAAAUUGCAAAGAAAAAGGCUUUGUGAUGGGCGCACCACGGACGCCGACUGAGAGAUUACCUAAUUUGACUUGGUUCUUUGAAAUUUCGACAGGGAAAGUUCCAUAAAUCGCAGGUUUUUAAGCAGCAACGAGUUUUUGACGAAAGUAACGUAACAUCUUGAAGCGGAAGCCUUCCGAGUUCCCGGUUAUUAUAAUGUUUGAUCAUCAAGAAGUUGGAACCAGGCCAAACUCGAUUUGCAAAGAUGUAUCGACGUUAAAUUUUCAUCACUCAUAUUGAACGAAAGCAGA